UACGUAGGUGGCAAGCGUUGUCCGGAUUUACUGGGCGUAAAGGGUGCGUAGGCGGCCAUUUAAGUCAGAUGUGAAAUACCCGAGCUUAACUUGGGUGCUGCAUUUGAAACUGGGUGUCUAGAGUGCAGGAGAGGUAAGUGGAAUUCCUAGUGUAGCGGUGAAAUGCGUAGAGAUUAGGAAGAACACCAGUGGCGAAGGCGACUUACUGGACUGUAACUGACGCUGAGGCAUGAAAGCGUGGGGAGCAAACAGG
rnacentral:rRNA from 1 species